AACCAGCUCCUUAGAAAAAGGUAGUGCUGUCAGAUCUCGCUGAUGUAAUGUCUAAGUCCUGUUUAAACAUUUCAGAAGUGUCAAGUGUCCUAGGUUUCCGAGAAUAUUUUAUCACCUUAAUGCAGUCCAUGCAGUUUUACAUUUGCCCAAAUGCCCGAUCAGAAAUAAUAAUGGAAUAUUUGACUGAAGAUGUGGUAGCAGACCUUAUUCAAAGGGCAAGAGUCAGUCCCGCUCAUCAGCUCUGUUGCCGGUCUCUCUUGGCCUCCUUCAAC